rnacentral:rRNA from 1 species
UACAGAGGUCCCAAGCGUUGUUCGGAUUUACUGGGCGUAAAGGGUGCGUAGGUGGCGGGGUAAGUCUGGUGUGAAAGCUCCGAGCUCAACUCGGAAAAGCAUUGGAAACUAUCCCGCUUGAGGGUCGGAGGGGAGACUGGAAUUCUCGGUGUAGCAGUGAAAUGCGUAGAUAUCGAGAGGAACACCAGUGGCGAAGGCGAGUCUCUGGAAAACUCCUGACACUGAGGCACGAAAGCUAGGGGAGCAAACAGG